UAGGUUAACGAGGCGAACCGGGGGAACUGAAACAUCUAAGUACCCCGAGGAAAAGAAAUCAACCGAGAUUCCCCCAGUAGCGGCGAGCGAACGGGGAGCAGCCCAGAGUCUGAAUCAGCUUGUGUGUUAGUGGAACGGUCUGGAAAGUCCGACGGUACAGGGUGAUAGUCCCGUACACCAAAAUGCACAGGCUGUGAACUCGAAGAGUAGGGCGGGACACGUGGUAUCCUGUCUGAAUAUGGGGGGACCAUCCUCCAAGGCUAAAUACUCCUGACUGACCGAUAGUGAACCAGUACCGUGAGGGAAAGGCGAAAAGAACCCCGGCGAGGGGAGUGAAAAAGAACCUGAAACCGUGUACGUACAAGCAGUGGGAGCACCUUCGGGUGUGACUGCGUACCUUUUGUAUAAUGGGUCAGCGACUUAUAUUCUGUAGCAAGGUUAACCGUAUAGGGGAGCCGCAGGGAAACCGAGUCUUAACUGGGCGUUAAGUUGCAGGGUAUAGACCCGAAACCCGGUGAUCUAGCCAUGGGCAGGUUGAAGGUUGGGUAACACUAACUGGAGGACCGAACCGACUAAUGUUGAAAAAUUAGCGGAUGACUUGUGGCUGGGGGUGAAAGGCCAAUCAAACCGGGAGAUAGCUGGUUCUCCCCGAAAGCUAUUUAGGUAGCGCCUCGUGAA
rnacentral:rRNA from 1 species